GAGUUUGAUUCUGGCUCAGAUUGAACGCUGGCGGCAGGCUUAACACGUGCAAGUCGAACGGUAGCAGGAAGAAAGCUUGCUUUCUUUGCUGACGAGUGGCGGACGGGUGAGUAAUGCUUGGGAAUCUGGCUUAUGGAGGGGGAUAACUGUGGGAAACUGCAGCUAAUACCGCGUAGUAUCGAGAGAUGAAAGGGUGGGACCUUCGGGCCACCUGCCAUAAGAUGAGCCCAAGUGGGAUUAGGUAGUUGGUGGGGUAAAGGCCUACCAAGCCGACGAUCUCUAGCUGGUCUGAGAGGAUGACCAGCCACACUGGGACUGAGACACGGCCCAGACUCCUACGGGAGGCAGCAGUGGGGAAUAUUGCGCAAUGGGGGGAACCCUGACGCAGCCAUGCCGCGUGAAUGAAGAAGGCCUUCGGGUUGUAAAGUUCUUUCGGUAAUGAGGAAGGGGUAUUAUUGAAUAGAUAAUAUCA
rnacentral:rRNA from 1 species